CGGGCGCAGCCACGGGAAGCCUCGCUCUGCUCUCCAGCGAUGCGCCCUGGCGCCCGGGCAGGGUGCCAUCUUUUAGGGACACCCAUUCCGGAACAAAGCAGGUGUCUGGCCAAUGAAAACACUCCAUCCUCAUGGUAAACCUGUGAGACAGACAUGACAUAAAGUUGUCCCAUUUGAUGAUGAAGGAAACAGAGGCUCCAAGUAGGUAACUGAUGCGCCCAGGAUCAUACAGAUUGUAAAGGAUGAAAACAGAACUCAAAUCCAAGGCUCUGAGAGACCUGGCCUCAUUAUCUCAUGCUACUGAACUGUCCCCUAUUCUAUAACUGGUGCAAUGAGAAACCCUGGGCUGCCCUCCAUGCAGGAGCAAGUCUUCUCCUCAGAGAGGAGUACAUAGACACUAUUAACAUCCCACAGGAAGUGGUGUUUGCACAGUGCUCCUUGAUUAACGAAUCUCCAGGGAACAAACCUUCUCUGUAGGAUGUGAGGCUGUGCUCAAAAAAACUUCAUAAAUCACGCAGCCACGCUACCUGGGCUGGCAGCGGCAUGCUGGCCACCCUCGGUGCAUGGCUCGUGUUUACAACCACCAUGCUGAAGGUGGUGAUGAGAACUGGAUCCUCCUCUUCUUAUUUUUCACAUCUGAUGAUUGGAAGAAUUUUCCAUGUAUUUCUCAAUGCAUUUUAGAAGAGGAAACCUCAUUGUCAAGAUAAAGUGUAUCUUUGGAGCGGUUGUUCCUUGAUGCUGUUGAAGAUAGGAGACCGUUUUACGGCAGGUGCGUAUCAGGCCUCAGAAACACAGCCAGAUGAAUGUACGUCUUGAAAUACUAACACCCAAAACAGUGUCCUGCUUCCUGCUAUUACUAAAUGGUGAAUGAAAGCUACAGGCCACAUCCCUUCAGGUCCUAACGCCAUACGAGGGUGGAGGAGCACUGGUCACUCUGAGGAGACACCUGGCGCUGGAUAACAGCUGAAGGAGUUGGGCCCGAGGACGGGGCUGGACCUGAGAUGUGUCUUCAUGCAUCCGAGGGGCUGGCCUGAGCAAGAGCAGUUAGACCUGAGCUCUGAGGCCUCCUAGGAUCAGACACAGGGCCAACGGGUGAAAGACUCAAGAAAGUGAUUUCUACUGGUUCUCAGAAGGGAUUUUCUUACCGCCAGUAGAAUCAGCUCCUUGGCAGCCAGUGGGGCCACAGACUUCAUGGACAGGGCACUGACUUUGGAGUUUCUCUGGGUGUGUAUCUCGUUCUGACUCUUAUUAGCUGUAGGCCACAUGAAAGUCAUGCAAAGUGUCUGAGUCCCAGUUUCCUCAUCCAUAGAAAGGAGGGGGGAAAUUGAGGUAAGUACUUAUAAGGAUAUGAAAUAAUGUAAAGUGUGUGGAUAUGCGUAAAAUGCCAGGCAUAUGUCAGGAAGCCCGUAAAUGUUGGCUUCCCUGUUCCUUGCACCUGGAGUUACAUCAGAGAGGGUAUUAAAACUGCAUUGGUGGUCUGUUAAUUUUAAAGGCCUCAUCAGAAUCUGAGAGUCUUGUGAUUUUGUGACUUGAUGAAAUUGUCUGUGUGUCGGCGGGGGGGGGGGGGGGGGGGGAGACGUAGUGACGAGGUAAACAAAGCUCCAAGGAAAAAGCUGAUAAUUUGAAUAGGCUUAUCUGAAGUCUCUGGCUGUGAAUGAAGUAGGCUCUGUUUCUCUAAAGUGGCCACAGGUUGGCUGGGGAGGCCUUCAGCCCCUCCAGGGCCUCCUCAGUGUCUCUAAGACAACCCAGAUAAAUACACAGUCUAAGCCCAAAUUGUUUGCUUGCUGUGGAAAUUCACCAUCAACGUAAGUCCCCUACCUGCCCCUCACCCCGGUUCUUAAGCCCCUCUCAUGUAGAAAACUGGGGGCUCUCUUGUCCUAUAACUUAGUGAACUUGAUCAAUGUGAUGAGAACACUCUGAAGAUAAAAAUGCAUGUUCUGUUGUAGUCUUGCCAGUGGUUAAUGAUUCCAUGGAUGAGAGUCAGGUGUUAAGAAGCUACGUUUAGUUUUUAGGAUGCCAGUAUACCACUUCAUUCAUCCCCAGAGUCGGCUCACCUCCCAUGGCUCCUAAUGCUGGUUAUCCACAAGGAGAAGCAAGUACUUAGAACACGUAUCAUUGGGGUAGCAUUAGGAGAACCCAAGAAAAAUCAUCCUUCCCGUGAAAUGUUUUUUGAUCCUAGAGCAGGAUUGGUACUCUUUGCAGAACAGUAAACUAUCA
ensembl:lncRNA